UAAAUAUUUUUCCUUUUUAUAAAUAUUUUAUAAAUAUUUUAUAAAUAUUUUAUAAAUACAUAUUUUGCGCUAUCUGUAUCUAUAUUUUCAAUAGUUGCCAUUAUGGGUCAAAAUUAGCUACCAGAACUUUUUGAAAGAGGUAUACCAUCAAUAUUAAUAUUUAAUUUUAUUUCUUCCUGUGUAAUAAAUUUAGAAUACAUUUGUAUAGAUCGCUUCAGAGCAGAAAAAACACCAAAAUGUAAAUAACGGCCACCACUUACAAAGAUUUUUAAUAUUUGUAGAUGCGUUUCAUGGCGUUUUUAAUAACACCCUCACAUCUUUAGGUAAAUUUGUAUAGCCAUGUUUCCUUAAAAUAGUAAGUAAUUCGUUAACAAAAUUAUGUGAAACAUUUUGUUCCAUAAUUAAUUUUCGUAAAUCUUCCCGUAAAUUCGCUUUGUUAAAAUCAGAAAUAUUACUUAUAUCUAAAAUAUAAUCUUGUGCUUCAAUCCAAAGCCUUUUUUUAAAAAAAGACUUUGGCUUUUUUUUAGAAAAAAUAAAACUUUCGUACGUUCUGUGACGUAACUUUCGUCGGGAACCGCCAGGUCCGAGGAGCUACGCCCAAUUAACAGCAAUAGUUUAUCUAAUAGUUCGCGGGUAACGCUUCCUCGCGAGAUCGGUAACGUCCGAAAACGGUAGCCUGCUUGAACGGUAACUCCGAAAAUGCUCUAAUUUUCUGGGCGCCAGGCGCGGAUUUCCGCGCCGCACAACAAUUAACUAUAAUUCGGUAGCCGGAUAGGAAGCGUCACUAAUGCCGGUGGCUCUUUUCUCGAAGUGGUAGAGGGGCGUGGUUCUUUAUUAAUCGAGGGGUAUGGAGAGCUCGGAUCGAGGCAGGUCGUAGAAAAGAAUCGAUACUCAAUUCCUUUUCUAAAAAAGAUAUGUUAUUUAUUUAUCGAAUGUAUCGAAGUCAUCUCGAAAGUCUCGAAGAAUUGUUGCCUUUAAUCCGCGAUGCUGAUUGGUUCUUUCGCUGAUCAUUGAGCCGCAUGCUUCGUAGUGUUUGACAGUUGUGUUUGACAGUUGUGUUUUCAAAUCAAAAUUGGUUAUAUCAAAAGUGUGUAAGUAAUAAGGUAAGUAAUAAAGAGAUAUAUUAAGUAAUAAUAUAAUCUCUCUCUCUCGGAAAUAACAAUAUCUUUAAAAUUUUAUAAUCUUUUAGAAAAAAAGAAGGAAAGGAAAUAGAUUGGUAGGAGAAAGAGAGAGUUUCGACUUUUGUAGAAAGAAGAAGCAGAAAAGGAAACAGAAGGUGAAAUAGCGACUUCUAUAGAAAGAAGGAGCGGAAAAAGAGAGAGAGAGAAAGAGAGUGUAAGAAAGAAGAAAAAGAAAAGUGUUAGAGCAUUAACAAAAAAAAGAAGGAAAGGAAAUAGAUUGGUAGGAGAAAGAGAGUUUCGACUUUUGUUGAAAAAAGAAGCAGAAAAGAAAACAGAAGGAGAAACAGCGACUUCUAUAGAAAGAAGGAGCAGAAAAAGAGAGAGAGAGAAAGAGAGUGUAAGAAAGAAGAAAAAGAAGAGUGUUAGAGCAUUAACAGUAAAUAUUAUUAAGAUAAAGGAUAGAGGAUUAAAGAAAGAGAAAAAGAUAAAGA
rnacentral:lncRNA from 1 species